UACAGAGGUCCCAAGCGUUAUUCGGAAUCACUGGGCUUAAAGGGUGCGUAGGCGGCGAUUCAAGUCAGAUGUGAAAUGCCUGAGCUCAACUGAGGCAUUGCGUUUGAAACUGAUUCGCUUGAGUAUUUCAGGGGUGUGCGGAACUGCCAGUGGAGCGGUGAAAUGUGUUGAUAUUGGCAGGAACACCGGAGGCGAAAGCGGCACACUGGGGAAUAACUGACGCUGAGGCACGAAAGCCAGGGGAGCGAACGGG
rnacentral:rRNA from 1 species